UGAGUGCGGGCUGCUACGGCAGCGAAGUUGGUGAUGUCAUGCUUCCAAGAAAAGCCCUAUACCCGUUAAGGCAUCAUGGCCUGUACCCGAAACCGACACAGGUGGGGUGGUAGAGAAUACCGAGGGGCGCGAGGUAACUCUCUCUAAGGAACUCGGCAAAAUGGCCCCGUAACUUCGGGAGAAGGGGUGCCACCGCAAGGUGGUCGCAGUGAAGAGGCCCAGGCGACUGUUUACCAAAAACACAGGUCUCCGCUAAGUCGCAAGACGAUGUAUGGGGGCUGACGCCUGCCCAGUGCCGGAAGGUUAAGGAAGCUGGUCAGCGCAAGCGAAGCUAGCGACUGAAGCCCCGGUGAACGGCGGCCGUAACGAUAACGGUCCUAAGGUAGCGAAAUUCCUUGUCGGGUAAGUUCCGACCCGCACGAAAGGCGUAACGAUCUGGGCGCUGUCUCGGAGAGAGGCUCUGCGAAAUAGAAUUGUCUGUGAAGAUGCGGACUACGUGCACCCGGACAGAAAGACCCCAUGAAGCUUUACUGUAGCUUGGUAUUGUGCCCGGGCUCGCAAUGCGCAGGAUAGGUGGGAGGCUUUGAUCAUCGGCUUGCGGGUCGAUGUGAGCCAACGGUGAGAUACCACUCUUUGCGAGCUAGGGUUCUAACGGCCACCCGUUAUCCGGGGGCCGGACAGUACCUGGUGGGCAGUUUGACUGGGGCGGUCGCCUCCUAAAAGGUAACGGAGGCGCGCAAAGGUUUGCUCAGGCUGGUUGGAAAUCAGCCGACGAGUGUAAAAGCAGAAGCAAGCUUGACUGUGAGACCAACAAGUCGAACAGGGAGGAAACUCGGCUUUAGUGAUCCGACGGUUCUGAGUGGAAGGGCCGUCGCUCAACGGAUAAAAGUUACUCUAGGGAUAACAGGCUGAUCUCCCCCAAGAGUUCACAUCGACGGGGAGGUUUGGCACCUCGAUGUCGGCUCAUCGCAACCUGGGGCUGAAGUCGGUCCCAAGGGUUGGGCUGUUCGCCCAUUAAAGCGGUACGCGAGCUGGGUUCAGAACGUCGUGAGACAGUUCGGUCCAUAUCCGGUGCACGCGCAGGAAUAUUGAGAGGAUUUCUCCCUAGUACGAGAGGACCGGGAGGAACGCACCUCUGGUGUACCAGUUAUCGUGCCAACGGUAAACGCUGGGUAGCCAUGUGCGGAGUGGAUAACCGCUGAAAGCAUCUAAGUGGGAAGCCCACCUCAAGAUGAGUAUUCCCAUGGCGUAAGCCAGUAAGGUCACGGGAAGAACACCCGUUGAUAGGCUCUAUGUGGAAGCGCAGUAAUGCGUGAAGCAGAGGAGUACUAAUAGACCGAGGGCUUGACC
rnacentral:rRNA from 1 species